rnacentral:rRNA from 1 species
UACGUAGGGUGCGAGCGUUGUCCGGAAUUAUUGGGCGUAAAGAGCUCGUAGGCGGUGUGUCACGUCGGCCGUGAAAACCUGCAGCUUAACUGUGGGCGUGCGGUCGAUACGGGCAUCACUGGAGUUCGGCAGGGGAGACUGGAAUUCCUGGUGUAGCGGUGAAAUGCGCAGAUAUCAGGAGGAACACCGGUGGCGAAGGCGGGUCUCUGGACAGUUCCUGACGGCUGAGGCACGGAAGGCCCAGGGGGAGCAAACGGG